GCCAGAGAAUUAACAAAUCUUGUUUCAUUUUCCAUUUCAGUAUCUCUGUCACAGUGCACUUUUGCUGCCUGAAACUUCCAGAAGCCAAACCUGGCAUCGGGAACUGCAGACACUGUCCUGGAACGUCACGGACUUUGCAGCAGCUCCUGGAGAAAUGUGGUCAACGUGAGAGGAAUUUGAAGCAGCUUCUUCAAAUUUAGUACAAAUCCAGCACCACACCAUGAGCAUGCUGUUGAUAGAUAUGGACAUGACUGCAGCCCGAGUUUUGGAGGCUCCACAUCCCUUUCUGACAAAGAAAAGCCUGCAGCAAAGGGAAGAGUUCUUGAACUGCACCCCAGCAGGAGCAGAUGUGGAGUAUUGAACAUCCACAGGCUGCAAAAAGCUCCUGGUGCAGACUGGAUGGUCUCAAAAAAAUCACAGAUGGCUUCAGGUCCACGCUUGCCAAGCAAACCAGCACUUGGGGCGCUCCCUGUGCUUCACUUGGUGAUUUCCCCUGACUCCUGCUCCUCCUUCCUUGGGUAAUAUCAGAAAAAAGAAACCCAGUUUGGUUUGUUCUUGCCAUUGAAAAUCUAUUUACAUUAAAAAUCAACAGCCAGCAGCAGAUUAGACAGCCACAGGUGCCUCAUGACAGAAUUUCUCCACUCCAUGCAGCCUUCUCCACGAGGUGAGGCAAUCCAUGAAUAACAACUCACAUUAAUCAUCAGCACCAUUAAAGAAUCAAAAAAAGGCUGUUGGGAUUUUCUUUCUCGACAUUUCCAGUGAAGUUUCCAGAUUCCCAGAGAAGUUCAGGGUUGGAACUGUAAAGUCUGGACAGCAAGGCAGGACUGAGAUGAACAAAGCCUUGGGAACAACCCACCCUGGCAGGAACAAGAGCAGAACAGCUUUAAAGGGAUGGAGAAGUUUAUUUGAUGCAACCCCACGUCUGUGUUUGCAAGAGCACUCAGGGCCCUGCUGCCAUCAGCAUUCCCAAAAUCCAGGAGCAGCCACAAACCCUACAGCCCACUGGUGUUUUCAGCAGAAGUAACAAGCACAUAAAAAAAAAAAGACAAAGCUGAGCCUGAUGCUGAGAUUUUUCAAAAGAAAAUUUUAAGAAAAAAAAAUUCCAUGCAAAUGGUUCAAAAAGUUUAUUGAAUAUUUAAUUUACAAAAAUCAUAUCCCUAUGAGGUGUUCUAAAAUUGGAUAAAAUAAACUGCAUAUAAAACCCAACCCUAGUAAUGCAAAUACAACACAGAUAUGAGACCAUGGAAAGGAGAAAAAAAUAGCAAUAAUCAUGACACACACGUGACAUUCAUGAAGGAUUGUCCCAACCAUCCAAGAACUGGUUCAACACGAUGCCUUCUCCCUUGAUACUCUGUACAAGUCACCAUUUUGUACAGGCCUUCCAUAUUCCAUUGGUCCAAAUUUAGAGUUGAUAACAAGUCUUUGCCUUCUCUCUGGGCUGCUACACCAGAUUUAACAUCUUCCUUUUGAACAGAAGGUGGAAAAGAAGGUGGGAACAGACAGUACAGACACUGAACACGUGCACUACUGGAUGCAACUUUCUAUCUUUGGUAGGGACCCUAAAUCUGCAGUGGUCAGCUUUCUAGAGCAACAGGAAUUUCAAUUUUGGCAAAAAAAAAAAUAAA